GCCUGGGUAGCUCAUUUGGUUGAGCAUCCGACUUUGGCUCGGGUCAAGGUUUGUGAGUUCAAGCCCCAUAUUGGGCU
rnacentral:tRNA from 1 species